rnacentral:snRNA from 1 species
AUCGUUUCUCAGCCUUUUGGCUCAGAUCAAGUAUAAUAUCUGUUUUUAUCCUUUUCCUUUUGAAAGAUAGUUUUGCAGGGUACAUCAAUCUGAGUCACAAGUUGUUUUCUUUCAGGACCUGAAACACUU